UACGGGGGGGGCAAGCGUUGUUCGGAAUUACUGGGCGUAAAGGGCGCGUAGGCGGCCUGCUAAGUCGGAUGUGAAAUCCCUCGGCUCAACCGAGGAACUGCAUCCGAUACUGGCGGGCUUGAAUCCGGGAGAGGGAUGUGGAAUUCCAGGUGUAGCGGUGAAAUGCGUAGAUAUCAGGAAGUACACCAACGGCGAAGGCAGCUCGCUGGGACGGUACUGACGCUGAGACGCGAAAGCGUGGGGAGCGAACAGG
rnacentral:rRNA from 1 species